rnacentral:rRNA from 1 species
AACGAACGCUGGCGGCAGGCCUAACACAUGCAAGUCGAGCGCGCCCUUCGGGGUGAGCGGCGGACGGGGGAGUAACGCGUGGGAACGUGCCCUUUUCUACGGAAUAGCCUCGGGAAACUGAGAGUAAUACCGUAUACGCCCUUUGGGGGAAAGAUUUAUCGGAAAAGGAUCGGCCCGCGUUGGAUUAGGUAGUUGGUGGGGUAAUGGCCUACCAAGCCGACGAUCCAUAGCUGGUUUGAGAGGAUGAUCAGCCACACUGGGACUGUGACACGGCCCAGACUCCUACGGGAGGCAGCAGUGGGGAAUCUUAGACAAUGGGGGCAACCCUGAUCUAGCCAUGCCGCGUGAGUGAUGAAGGCCUUAGGGUAGUAAAGCUCUUUCAGCUGGGAAGAUAAUGACGGUACCAGCAGAAGAAGCCCCGGCUAACUCCGUG